GGUAGGAAAGGCAGAGGGUGACCUCUGUAUAGAAAUAAUCUCUGGGUUGAGGCCUGAAGGAGGCAUAGAAGUUAGCUCAGUGAAGAGAGAGGGGAAGGAAGAAAAUAUGCAAAAAGCUCUUGUGUGAGAAACAGAUUGGCGUCAUCGAGUAGCAGAAAAAAGGGAUGUGUGGCUGCAUGUGAUGUGAUCUAAUUUAUUUUUGAAAAGAUCAUUCUGUCUGUCAUGUGAAUGAUGGGUUGGAGGAUCACAAGCAGAAGUGAGAGAUCUAUGAAAAGAAAAAUUCCAUGGCCCAGGAGGCAGAUGGUGGUGACCUGGCCUGCAGGAUAACAGUGGAGAUAAGACCAGGUCUUUGAAUGAGGUUCUGCCCUCUGAAACAGAAGUCUACAUCCAGGGAUGGCCACUGCCUGAGACACUUUGGGAGACCAAAUAUCUUCACCUGAACAACUGCCCAGAGUUGCAGUUUAUCAGAAAUCAAUACCCACCUUUCUCUGCCUAGCAUUUCUAUUGGGGAAGAGCCAUGCACAUCACAGGAGCAUCUUUUGUUCUAAUGAGGUGAUUCUUCGUGGGCUCCUGGAUGGCCUCAGGAUGGGUCUGGUUGCCAGGGAAGCAACCUCGUGAUUAGAGGAUUGGAACUUUCAUCCCCACCUCCAAGCGUCCGGGGAGAGCAGAAGGGCUGACGACUGAGUUGAUAACCAAUGGCCAACGAUGUUACCCAUGAACGUACCCAUCCCACUAUCAGGCCUGAACUCUCUGAGGCAGAUGGAAUUCUCCUUGAAGGCUCACCAGGAGUAGGAACCAGAAAGCUUGUUCUGCUAAACCUGGAAGAUCAGCACCAUGAGACGGGGAAGGUGGAUGGAGGGGUGAUUUGUCUAAAGUGCCAAAAAAAGGCUUUGUUCUGCUCAUAGUUUGAAAAAAAAAAUGUGUCCAUUGCU
rnacentral:lncRNA from 1 species